AUGUGAACCUGCAGACUGCAGAGGGCUGUGCUGAGCUCUAGAACACAUGCCACACACGGAGGGCACAGGAACCAUAUUGCCCCCUCCUUGCUCCUGGAGCACCAAACAGAGGAGACACUGGUUCUGGCCAGCACCAGAACUGGCCUCUCCCGGGAUCCCUGAGCGCUGGCCUCUUCCUGGGGGUUGGAAAUCUAGUGCUGAGAAUGUCAACCUGCAAGAGUGUGUGUCCUGCUCUCAGGACCCUGGAGACAAGAAAAGGUAAGGGGCUUGCCCCAGACAGGAUGUCCAGGAAGACUUCUCUGAGGAGGGGUCGUUUGCCUCAAGACCUGACCAAUGAGGAGGAGAUGCCAAGAGACCUGGGGAGAGAGCCUUCCAGGCAGAGUUGCAGGUCGGACACGGGCGAAGAGUCAGAGCGGACUCCUGCACUGCCAGCCUGGGUACUGACUGAAGGGGAAGUUGAGGCUCGCUUGUGCCCCAGCCGGGGGAGACCGUAUGAGGGCCAGCCGCAGAUUCCCCCGGCUCGGAGCUGCAGCUUAUUUUCUUCUAACGGAGCGUGACUUCGACGUCAGACUCCCAUUCCACCAACGGCAGAAGGCAUCAGCACCUCUUUCAAGUCUGACUUUAUCGCUGCCUGGGGUGGCAUCCAAAUGCCACGGGGGCACGUGGGUCCUGGCUGUGUCCGGCUGUGUGUGCCGCAGACCUGAGUCCCUCUGGUCUUCUGCCAUCAGUCCACACCCCUUCUGCCUCCGAGACCCCCAGGUCCACCAGCUCUCGCUGCUGCCUGCAUGUGUGGGAGACAUUCCCCUGCACCCUGCUUCCUAGGCCCUGAGAACUUCUGCUUCAAGCUCCCCUUGGUACCUGGGUUCACUGACAGACUCUUUUAUGCUGCAACGUGGCCCAUGGGACCUGCGACCCCGACGGGGCUGCUCCACCCCGUUGCACCCCCCUGCAGACACGAGGCUUUGGCCCCACCGCACUGGGCCGGGCAGUCCUGAGUCUUCUUGGUUUCUGACCAGGGACCAGGAGCUAUGUCUCUGACUGAUACGAAGAACCAAUUCCUUCUUCACUCAAAUAGCAUCUAUUGUGAAGUGAAAGUCACCCACCCCCCCACCUUUGUACAGCGCAUAGAACUCUGAUGAUGGUCAGUUUUGUGUGUCAACUUGGAUGGGUCAAGAUAUUUGGUCCAACAUUAUUCGGGAUAUUUCUGUGAAAUUGUUUGUUGGAUGAGAUUCAUAUUAAAAUCUGUGGACUUGGAGUAAAGCAGAUUACUCUCCCUAAUGUGGGUGGCGUCCUCCAAUUAGUUAAAGGCUGUAAUAAAUCAAAGAUGGACCUCCCCAGGCAAGAGGGGCUCUGCCAACAGACAGCCUUUGGGAACAGAGACUCUUCCCCGAGUCUCCCGCUGCCAGCAUACCCUCCAGAUUUUGGACUUGCAACCUCCACAAAUAGUAUGAGACAAUUUUUUAAAAAUAAAUCACUCCCUCCUUUUCUCUCUCUCCAUGCCAUUGGUUCCAUUUGUCUGGAGAACCCUGCCUAAUACGCCUCUGAUAGACUAAGGAUUUGGUUUAAUACUCCCUUCUGGAGGCAAAGCACAUGGACUUCUACAUGGGUGGAUGGGUGGAAACUCGUUCCACUUUAGGGCACUCCAAACAUUUCAUGGGUUGGAUUAUGCUGGGGCGACUCUGCAUGGAAGCAUCUCUUGGGGAAGUCCAUCUUGCAGAUGGAACAUGGCAUUCCCUCCAGGCACAAUGGUUUGACUUUUGAAUGCCCUAUGUGUGCUUACUCAGCCAAGAGAAGCCUCAAGCCAUCUGAGUCCACCGCCUCUCCAGGACCUCAGGGGGCUCUAGGAUUUGGCACCACAUCCUAGAGUUGCUGGGCGACUGUGGGACCAAUGCCGCCAUAGGUAUCCCCUGGGAAAGGCCUCUUUGGGAUUCAGGUCCCCGUCUUUGCGUCCUGGAGCUUGAGCCAUGUUGGACCUCUAGACAUGCUGGCCAGGAGGGUCCACCUCACUCAAAGCUCAAUACCACUGCUGACCCUGCACACUACAUACAUGCAGUGUAUUUGUAAGCUUUCUGGGCUUUCCAGGCUUCUCCACAUCAACUGCUCCCUUCUCUUGGGAGCCUCUUACAGCUUCCUCUUGAGAACACAGUGCUUUUUUUCUCCUUCUGUCUCCAGUCUCCAGCACGAGGCUGAGAAGGUGAUACAUAAUUCAUAUUUAUUAUAUAAAUGAAUGAAUAUUCCUGGUCCUGUCCUAUGGCCAAAGAAGCAAGUUUAUCACAAGCCGGAA